UACGUAGGGUGCGAGCGUUAAUCGGAAUUACUGGGCGUAAAGCGUGCGCAGGCGGCGACAUAAGACAGAUGUGAAAUCCCCGGGCUUAACCUGGGAACUGCGUUUGUGACUGUGUUGCUAGAGUGCGGCAGAGGGGGGUGGAAUUCCACGUGUAGCAGUGAAAUGCGUAGAGAUGUGGAGGAACACCGAUGGCGAAGGCAGCCCCCUGGGCCAAUACUGACGCUCAUGCACGAAAGCGUGGGUAGCAAACAGGAUUAGAUACCCGUGUAGU
rnacentral:rRNA from 1 species